rnacentral:rRNA from 1 species
CACGUAGGGCGCAAGCGUUGUCCGGAAUUAUUGGGCGUAAAGAGCUCGUAGGCGGUCUGUUGCGUCCGCUGUGAAAUCUCGGGGCUUAACCCCGAGCCUGCAGUGGAUACGGGCAGACUAGAGGUAGGUAGGGGAGAAUGGAAUUCCCGGUGUAGCGGUGAAAUGCGCAGAUAUCGGGAGGAACACCGGUGGCGAAGGCGGUUCUCUGGGCCUUACCCUGACGCUGAGGAGCGAAAGC